rnacentral:rRNA from 1 species
GAUGAACGCUAGCGGCAGGCUUAACACAUGCAAGUCGAGGGGCAGCGUGGAGCAGCAAUGCUCUGACGGCGACCGGCGGAAGGGUGCGUAACACGUGAGCGACUUGCCCGUCACAGGGGGAUAACCGGCGGAAACGGCGACUAAUACCCCAUACGAUGCGAUGCUGCAUGGCAUUGCAUUGAAAGAUUCAUCGGUGGCGGAUAGGCUCGCGGGACAUUAGCUAGACGGCGGGGCAACGGCCCACCGUGGCGACGAUGUCUAGGGGUUCUGAGAGGAAGGCCCCCCACACUGGGACUGAGACACGGCCCAAACUCCUACGGGAGGCAGCAGUGGGGAAUAUUGCACAAUGGGGGAAACCCUGAUGCAGCGACGCCGCGUGAGCGAAGAAGUAUUUCGGUAUGUAAAACUCUAUCAGCAGGGAAG